GCGGGAGUGGCUCAGUGGUAGAGCGUCUCCUUGCCAAGGAGAAGGUCGCGGGUUCGACCCCCGUCUCCCGCUCCA
rnacentral:tRNA from 1 species